rnacentral:rRNA from 1 species
AGUGCAGGCGGGAAACUAAGCGGAUCUUAAAAGUGCGGGGCUCAACCCCGUGAUGGGGUCCGAACUGGUUUUCUUGAGUGCAGGAGAGGAAAGCGGAAUUCCCAGUGUAGCGGUGAAAUGCGUAGAUAUUGGGAAGAACACCAGUGGCGAAGGCGGCUUUUUGGACUGUAACUGACGCUGAGGCUCGAAAGCUAGGGUAGCGAACG